rnacentral:rRNA from 1 species
CUUAAAUUGAAGAGUUUGAUCAUGGCUCAGAUUGAACGCUGGCGGCAGGCCUAACACAUGCAAGUCGAGCGGAAACGAGUUAUCUGAACCUUCGGGGAACGAUAACGGCGUCGAGCGGCGGACGGGUGAGUAAUGCCUAGGAAAUUGCCCUGAUG